AUGACCUCCUUCCUUGAACUUGCCCGGCUGCUCAUCUUGGAGCAUUUCACCUGCGUGAAAGCAGGGGGGCUUCUCCCUGUGACUCUUGGCCAGACUCGUCUCACGGGCCCACCUGUAGCUGCAGGACAGGCUGGGAAUCAAUGUUCCAGAGGAGAAACACGGGACAGAGGAGAGGGAAUGAGCAGCCUCAGACCCUGCUGUCCAGGAACACUGCAUCUUCUGGGAAGGCCCAAAGCCAACGUAGCUGGAUGGUGUUCUUCUCUGCCCUUUGUCACGUCUGGAUUGCUUGUGUGGGGUGACCAGUUGGCCCAGACACGUCCCCAGUGACGAAGUGAGCACAGAUCGCAGACCACGGAGGACACGGGGAGAGCGUACCGUCCACUCGCCCAGCAGAGGCCCCUCAGGGAGGCCUGCAUCUCGGGCUUCAGCCCCUGGGACGGUGAGGAGUAAACUCACG
rnacentral:lncRNA from 1 species